UACGUAGGGUGCGAGCGUUGUCCGGAAUUACUGGGCGUAAAGCGUGCGCAGGCGGCUUUGCAAGACAGAUGUGAAAUCCCCGGGCUUAACCUGGGAAUGGCAUUUGGGACUGCAAGGCUCGAGUGCGGCAGAGGAGACUGGAAUUCCUGGUGUAGCAGUGAAAUGCGUAGAUAUCAGGAGGAACACCGAUGGCGAAGGCAGGUCUCUGGGCUGACACUGACGCUCAUGCACGAAAGCGU
rnacentral:rRNA from 1 species